CUUUUGUGCUCCAAAUCGUUGCGAAGAUGGUGAGUUGUUUGAUUUCGAGUUCUCGGUUGCGCGGGUUCUACUUCAUCCUUGCCAAUCCACUUUUCGGCUGAAGAUCCGAUAUGUUUUUGGGUUUCGUUUCAGAUAACCCCUCAAUUCCCUUUCCUUUCCAUCCGAUGGUUAAUUAUCCCCUGAAUCAUGUUUGCAGCCUUGAUCGGAAGAGAAUCUAGAUGCUACGAUAGAUUCUCUAUUGAAUCUGGAGAAGCAAAUCAGGCUUGCUGGUGAUGUGGCAAGAACGAAGAAAGCUGUUCUUGACAUAGUACGCGCAUGGAAGACUCUGAAUGAUCAAAUUGUUCUCCUGUCAAAGAGGAGAGGACUGCUUAAGUAGGUAAAAUUCUCAAGAUCGUAACUCUCCGUUGAAGUUUUCACUGUUUCAGUUUGCAGCGGAUUCAACUCUAAUAAAUGCUUCCGAUCCGAUGAUGCUGCUGACAACAGAUGGUUUCCUUUGUGAGAUAUUUCUUUUUUUGAUUCGGUUGGGAGGAAGAUCAGCUGUUGGGGCGUGUAUCUGUUACAUCGUCGUCAAAGUGUGAAGACUUGUUGUUUCAUCUUUUUAUGAGAUAAUUCUCUUUGAUUCUGCCAAAGCUGAUGGCUGCUUGAAUCGAUUCAAUCUUGGGAAAUUUGGUA